rnacentral:rRNA from 1 species
UACGGGGGGAGCAAGCGUUGUUCGGAUUUACUGGGCGUAAAGGGCGCGUAGGCGGCCUCUGCAAGUCGACUGUGAAAUCUCCGGGCUUAACCCGGAACGGUCAGCCGAUACUGCAGGGCUAGAGUGCAGAAGGGGCAACCGGAAUUCUCGGUGUAGCGGUGAAAUGCGUAGAUAUCGAGAGGAACACCUGCGGCGAAGGCGGGUUGCUGGGCUGACACUGACGCUGAGGCGCGACAGCGUGGGGAGCAAACAGG